rnacentral:rRNA from 1 species
AGUGGCAGACGGGUGAGUAACACGUGGGAACAUACCCUUUGGUACGGAACAACUCGGGGAAACUCGAGCUAAUACCGUAUAAGGCCGAGAGGCGAAAGAUUGAUCGCCGAAGGAUUGGCCCGCGUCCGAUUAGCUAGUUGGUGAGGUAAUGGCUCACCAAGGCGACGAUCGGUAGCUGGUCUGAGAGGAUGGCCAGCCACAUUGGGACUGAGACACGGCCCAA